rnacentral:rRNA from 1 species
UUGACCUCGGAUCAGGUAGGGAUACCCGCUGAACUUAAGCAUAUCAAUAAGCGGAGGACAAGAAACCAACGGGGAUUGCCUCAGUAACGGCGAGUGAAGCGGCAACAGCUCAAAU